rnacentral:rRNA from 1 species
GGACUACCGGGGUAUCUAAUCCUGUUCGCUCCCCACGCUUUCGCUCCUCAGCGUCAGUAUCGGCCCAGAGACCCGCCUUCGCCACCGGUGUUCCUCCUGAUAUCUGCGCAUUUCACCGCUACACCAGGAAUUCCAGUCUCCCCUACCGAACUCUAGCCUGCCCGUAUCGACCGCAAGCUCAGGGUUGAGCCCUGAGAUUUCACGAACGACGUAACAAGCCGCCUACGAGCUCUUUACGCCCAAUAAAUCCGGACAACGCUCGCGCCCUACGUCUUACCGCGGCGGCUGGCAC